rnacentral:rRNA from 1 species
GAGUUCAAGAUUACUUGAAACCGUUCAGGGGUAAACCUGAGAAACCAGAAAGGUCGAAAGGGGAAAUUCAUUCGCGUUUCGGCAGUCGCCGUCGGAUGGUCGAGUGACGGAUGGCGUACGCGUCGUCCGCGCCUUCCUUCCUUCGAACCGGCGUCGAACGCGUGCACUUUUCCCCUAGUAGGACGUCGCGAUCCGUUGGGUGUCGGUCUAAGGCCCGUGGUGGAGCCCGUGCGGAAGUUUCGGCUUCCGCUCGGACCCACGGUGUCCCGGCCGACUCGCUCGACGGUAUACAGAUGGCGAGGGGCCGCUACUCAGUUAGCGUUCGRCCUGCGGCAAGCGCGUUCGGCGUUUGACGGCGAUCGGACCUGGUGCCGGUCCUGUCCCCGAGCGACUGUKGSCGUGGUGUUCUCGAACAGACCUCGAAACGAAACSSCGAUCUGCGACGCUAUAGCUUUGGGUACUUUCAGGACCCGUCUUGAA